GACGAACGCUGGCGGCGUGCCUAAUACAUGCAAGUAGGACGCUGAAGGAGGAGCUUGCUUCUCUGGAUGAGUUGCGAACGGGUGAGUAACGCGUAGGUAACCUGCCUGGUAGCGGGGGAUAACUAUUGGAAACGAUAGCUAAUACCGCAUAAUAGUAGAUGUUGCAUGACAUUUGCUUAAAAGGUGCAAUUGCAUCACUACCAGAUGGACCUGCGUUGUAUUAGCUAGUUGGUGGGGUAACGGCUCACCAAGGCGACGAUACAUAGCCGACCUGAGAGGGUGAUCGGCCACACUGGGACUGAGACACGGCCCAGACUCCUACGGGAGGCAGCAGUAGGGAAUCUUCGGCAAUGGACGGAAGUCUGACCGAGCAACGCCGCGUGAGUGAAGAAGGUUUUCGGAUCGUAAAGCUCUGUUGUAAGAGAAGAACGAGUGUGAGAGUGGAAAGUUCACAAUGUGACGGUAUCUUAUCAGAAAGGGACGGCUAACUACGUG
rnacentral:rRNA from 1 species